rnacentral:rRNA from 1 species
AACGAACGCUGGCGGCAUGCCUAACACAUGCAAGUCGAACGAGACCUUCGGGUCUAGUGGCGCACGGGUGCGUAACGCGUGGGAACCUGCCCUUAGGUUCGGAAUAACUCCCCGAAAGGGGUGCUAAUACCGGAUAAUGUCUUCGGACCAAAGAUUUAUCGCCUUUGGAUGGGCCCGCGUUGGAUUAGCUAGUUGGUAGGGUAAAAGCCUACCAAGGCGACGAUCCAUAGCUGGUCUGAGAGGAUGAUCAGCCACACUGGGACUAGGACACGGCCCAGACUCCUACGGGAGGCAGCAGUGGGGAAUAUUGCACAAUGGGCGAAAGCCUGAUCCAGCAAUGCCGCGUGAGUGAUGAAGGCCUUAGGGUUGUAAAGCUCUUUUACCCGGGAUGAUAAUGACAGUACCGGGAGAAUAAGCUCCGGCUAACUCCGUG